AUGGUGAGAUUUGUCAUCAGGAUCCGUGGUAUCAAUGGUGUGAGCCCAAAGGUCCGAAAGGUGUUGCAGCUUCUUCGCCUUCGGCAGAUCUUCAAUGGAACCUUUGUUAAGCUCAACAAGGCUUCAAUUAACAUGCUGAGGAUUGUAGAACCAUAUAUUGCAUGGGGGUACCCAAACCUAAAGUCAGUAAAUGAACUAAUCUACAAGCGUGGUUAUGGCAAAAUCAAUAAGAAACGAAUUGCGUUGACAGAUAACGAUUUGAUUGCUCGAUCUCUUGGUAAAUAUGGCAUCAUCUGCAUGGAGGAUCUGAUUCAUGAGAUCUAUACUGUUGGGAAACGCUUCAAAGAAGCAAAUAAUUUCCUGUGGCCCUUCAAGUUAUCAUCUCCACGGGGUGGAAUGAAGAAAAAGACAACCCAUUUUGUAGAAGGUGGAGAUGCUGGCAACAGGGAGGACCAGAUCAAUAGGCUUAUCAGAAGAAUGAACUAAGGUGUCUACCAUGAUUAUUUUUGUAAUCUGGUCAGUUAAUAAACAGUAACUGCUUUCAAAAAAAAAAAAA